rnacentral:rRNA from 1 species
GUAUAAAGUGGCGAACGGCUGAGUAACACGUGGGCAACCUGCCUUUUACUUUGGGAUAGCCUCGGGAAACCGAGGAUAAUACCGAAUACUUUGUAUGUAUCGCAUGGUAUAUACAAGAAAGCUUUUGCGGUAAAAGAUGGGCCCGCGGCCUGUUAGCUUGUUGGUGAGGUAACGGCUCACCAAGGCAAUGAUGGGUAGCCGGGUUGAGAGACCGACCGGCCAGAUUGGGACUGAGACACGGCCCAGACUCC